GUGCUCUCUUUGGCAGCACAUAUACUAAAAUUGGAACGACACAGAGAAGAUUAGUAUGGUCCCUGCGCCAGGAUGACAUGCAAAUUCGUGAAGUGUUCCAUAUUUUU
rnacentral:snRNA from 1 species